rnacentral:rRNA from 1 species
UACGUAGGGUGCAAGCGUUAUCCGGAAUUAUUGGGCGUAAAGAGCUCGUAGGCGGUCUGUCGCGUCGGUCGUGAAAACUUGGGGCUUAACCCUGAGCUUGCGGUCGAUACGGGCAUGACUGGAGUUCGGCAGGGGAGACUGGAAUUCCUGGUGUAGCGGUGAAAUGCGCAGAUAUCAGGAGGAACACCGGUGGCGAAGGCGGGUCUCUGGGCCGAUACUGACGCUGAGGAGCGAAAGCGUGGGGAGCGAACAGG